GGCCACAUUAUCCAGUAGGAGGUGCACUACUCGUGCACUGUGUUCAACCAUUCAGUCAAUCACAAGUGCUGCUGUGAAGAGAACAAUUGUCAGACUGAAUGUUGAACAUCAGCUAGUUUCUCCUGUUGAUUUAAACCUUGUUGUAGAGAUGGAACAUUGGCUGUGGAUUAUUCUUGCUGCUCUUUUCUUUGAGUGUAAAGGAGAAGACAGCGUGAACCAGACAACAGGAGAUGUCAUCGCUACUGAAGGACACACACUCACACUGGACUGUACAUUUGAGGCAGCUAAAGCAAGUCCAACUUUGUUCUGGUACAAACAGGAAGUUCAUGAUUACCCAAAGUACAUGCUGAAAAGUUUCUCAAACAACGUAUAUAAAGCUCCAGAGUUCCAGAAAGACAGAUUUGAUGCUAGAAUCAACAAGACAUCAGUUCCUCUGAGGAUCCAGAAGCUUCAGCUGUCUGACUCUGCUGUGUACUACUGUGCUCUGCAGCCCACAGUGACAGGAAACACCAAAACUCUGUACAAAAACCUUUGGAGCAAAGACGACACAAUACUCCACAACGUCCACUAGAGGGAGUCACACUCUGUUCCACUUCAACAGGAGCUGAUGAUGCAGUCUAGAUUGUUUCCCCUCAUGAGUUCAGAAGGAAACAGAACCAGACUGGACAGAGAGUCCUUCUCUCAGCAUUUCACUGUUUUAACUGCUACACUAUGAAUUAUGGACAAUGAGCGGUCUGGGUAUCAUCGGAUAAUCCGUAAUUCCUUUUGAAUUCAAAAACGAAAAAAAGAUUUUUUAUUUUUUCGUUUUAAGCUAAAAACGCGAAAACGUCCGUUUUCUCAUUUUUAGUUUCUGAAUCAAAAAACGAAAAACAGAUCCAAAUUGGGUCUAUUUUGUUUUUUGCGAAUUCCUUUUAUCAUUAUUCAUUUUUGAUUGAAGAACGGGAGU